CUGACGCUGAGGCGCGAAAGCGUGGGGAGCGAACAGGAUUAGAUACCCUGGUAGUCCACGCCGUAAACGAUGAGUGCUAAGUGUUAGAGGGUUUCCGCCCUUUAGUGCUGCAGCAAACGCAUUAAGCACUCCGCCUGGGGAGUACGGUCGCAAGACUGAAACUCAAAGGAAUUGACGGGGGCCCGCACAAGCGGUGGAGCAUGUGGUUUAAUUCGAAGCAACGCGAAGAACCUUACCAGGUCUUGACAUCCUCUGACAACCCUAGAGAUAGGGCUUCCCCUUCGGGGGCAGAGUGACAGGUGGUGCAUGGUUGUCGUCAGCUCGUGUCGUGAGAUGUUGGGUUAAGUCCCGCAACGAGCGCAACCCUUGAUCUUAGUUGCCAGCAUUCAGUUGGGCACUCUAAGGUGACUGCCGGUGACAAACCGGAGGAAGGUGGGGAUGACGUCAAAUCAUCAUGCCCCUUAUGACCUGGGCUACACACGUGCUACAAUGGGCAGAACAAAGGGCAGCGAAGCCGCGAGGCUAAGCCAAUCCCACAAAUCUGUUCUCAGUUCGGAUCGCAGUCUGCAACUCGACUGCGUGAAGGCGGAAUCGCUAGUAAUCGCGGAUCAGCAUGCCGCGGGGAAAUACGUUCCCGGGCCUUGUACACACCGCCCGUCACACCACGAGAGUUUGUAACACCCGAAGUCGGUGAGGUAACC
rnacentral:rRNA from 1 species